rnacentral:lncRNA from 1 species
GUACAUAGGGCACCACAUUAACACAGGAUGGCUCAGCCCACAGAAGAACGCUGUCAUUUUUCAUCAUACCCCAAAUGGAUUGGGUAUCUACAGGAUUUAUUGAAGAGCAAAACCAUUCACAAGACCUCAAGGUUUCUGUCUGUAAUGCCAAGGACAUGAAGUUAACUGUGUGGCGGAUGCUCUUACAUUGCAUUCUGUCAAACCGCCUUGCCAUUGUCACAACCUGGACUGGGGCAGAGCAUAAGGCCUGUUUCAGGGACUUGUUUCUGAAGACCAUUCUUCACAGUAAGUUAUGAUAGUAUUAAAUGUGUUACAUUUGUUUUCCCAACUUUUAAGUACAUUCUUAAACUCACGUGUAAGACCUUGUGCUAUUCAAAUCGAAUGCAAUGUUCUUUCUUUGUGUACAGAAGCCAUUCGGAAGAACCUGCAACCCAAGAUGCCAUGGAUAAGGGGGUCCAGAUUAAGGUCACCCUUUAGCUGAAAGGGGCCUCCGAUUGUGAAGGCGGGAGAAGGCGGCGGACAGGGGAGAGGGAUCGGCUGCAGUGAAGGUCAGCAUCAAGUCUCGGACCACCAAUCUCAAAACCAGCCUCUACCCCCAAGCCACAAGACUGAUCCAACAGCUGAACCCUGGGCUGACUCCUGCACCCUACCACACACUUACCAUUUAUUCAUAUUCUGUACGCACUUAAAUUACUUUAGUCUACCAGACCAAUGAAAUAGUUAUGUCACAUAACUGCACUGUAGUUAUUCCACUAAGCACAUGGGCAAAAAAAAAAGUCCAUACUAUAUGAAUGUAGGCUAUUUUGAUUUUUAUCUUAAGGCUAUUUUGGUUUGAUCUUAUUCUUAUUUACAUCUUAUUUUCUUUGAUCUGCAUGCUUCUUUUUGCACUUGUUUUGAUUGUUUUAUUGUUAGUACGUCGCAUAGUCAAGGAACUAUGACACAUUGAUUGCAGUCAGUUUUGUUCCCAUUGCACUGUGUGAGAAGCCUAUCUAUAUUAUUAUUCGUUCAAAUGGACAUGGCAUCCAAUCUAUCUUAAAUAAUAAACGUAAAUGAAUAAAUAAGUGGAGAAAGGGAGUGAAGGGUGGGUGAAGGGCGGGUGGGCUGUGUGAGGAAAACGACACUUGAACGGCAGGAGCACGGCUGCCGCUUGACAAAGUGGCAUAUCGCGGGCGCCCCAUGAGGCGAUGGGUACUCUGGAGGGACGCCGGCCACCCGAUUGCUCAUUGCUAACUGGGUUGCAAAGUGCAAAUAAAUGUUAAUUCAGGUUAGGGGGAGUUCCCGCUUGAAUUUGAUUAAAAGGGCAGUGAAUUCGCUCAUACUUUGAGAACUUGUUAGCAAGCUCCUGACACACAUCCUUUUUCUCUCUGAGAUUAUCAUUAACAAAAGACACGUGGAACCACUUUAAGUCUCAUUUAGUUAAUAGUCAUUUGCUCUGUGUUAUUAUGUGAUGUAUCAUAUAUUUCAUGUACACUGUAAUAGUUUAGUGUCAAUUAUUUCAUGACUAAUAAAUCCUAUUAGUGAGUGAAUGCAUC